GCGGGGUAGCUCAGCUGGUUAGAGCGUCGGAUUCAUAAUCCGGAGGUCGCGGGAUCGUGCCCCGCCCCCG
rnacentral:tRNA from 1 species